AUUGAACGCUGGCGGCAGGCCUAACACAUGCAAGUCGAACGAGUGGCGGACGGGUGAGUAAUGUCUGGGAAACUGCCUGAUUGCGGGUGAUAACUACUGGACACGGUAGCUCAUACCGCAUACCAUCAGAUGUGCCCAGAUGGGAUUAGCUUGUUGGUGGGGUAACGGAUCACCAAGGCGACGAUCCCUAGCUGGUCUGAGAGGAUGACAAGCCACAAGGGAACUGAGAAACGGUCCAGAAUCCUACGGGAGGCAGCAGUGGGGAAUAUUGCACAAUGGGCGCAAGCCUGAUGCAGCCAUGACGCGUGUAUGAAGAAGGCCUUCGGGUUGUAAAGUACUUGCAGCGGGGAGGCGUUACCCGCAGAAGAAGCACCGGCUAACUCCGUGCCAGCAGCCGCGGUAAUAC
rnacentral:rRNA from 1 species